GCAUGGAUGGUCUAGUUGGUUAUGACGAUCGCUUCACACGCGAUAGGUCUCGGGUUCGAUUCCCGAUCCGUGUA
rnacentral:tRNA from 1 species